AUUCCCAAAUUAAUAAAGAAACUUUAACCCUAGUCCCCUCACCACAGUCGCACCCCACCCCCCUUUCACCCCUUCAGUGCAACAAUUUCAGAAAUAGAAAAUUAGAGAGAGAGAGUAUGGGAACACAGAAGAGAGAAGAGAAUAGAGGAAGCAGGGGUUGUUCGCCGUGCCGGCUCCCUGGAGCUCGCCGCCGAGCUGCUUCAUGGCGUCGUCCCGUCCAUGGAGCCAUAGGCUCGCAUCGCCACCGAUCCGUCCACAAGCCAUCAUCGAGGGGACAGAAUCGCGAAGAGAGAGAGACGCACGAAGAAGAGAAGCCUGCGAGCUGCCACCGCGUCACCAUUACUGAGCUGCAGCAUCGCCAUUGCCGUGGGUGGAGUCCACCGUCCAAGCUGCCAUCAGAGGAAGCCGUUGCUACUAUGUGUACAGAGAAGAGGAGCGUCACGAGAAUCAAGGGAAGAAUACGCUGUUUUGCCUCUGGUUCUGGUUCCUAAAAUCUGACAAGAACACCACUGCCCUGCUGGAGUUGCUGUUGAACCGUUAGAACCGCUACUGUUUUGUAGUUACCGUAAGUUACAUUGUCGCCGCCGUUACUGGAGGUAGUUGUUGGCCCUGUUUGGAGAUUGUUGUUACCAUUGGAGUUGCCAGGAACCAAUAUCAGAGCUGCCCAGAACCACUUUGGUUGUUGCCUAGGAAACAAAACGAGUGUUGGAAUUGCUAACGGAGCUGUUGUGUUUAGCGAUUUUCGUGAGUUUCGACAUUGAGUGAUACAGGUUUGAAGACACAGUUUGAAGCUGCGGGCGAUUAUAGAAUUUAUUUAUGAGUUAAGUUUCUUUCAUAGAGUUUCCUCGCAUUUGUUGCUUUAGUUUUAAUUUUAUAUAGAGGGAUAGGAGUUGUACCUGAGUUUUAUUUGAAUUCUUUUGUAUAAAAUUUAUUUUUAUUAAUAAGUAUGUGAUUAAUAUUAUUUGGUUAUGUUUGCUAUAUGUUUUUAAUAAACAAAAACAAAAUUUUUCUGAAAUUUUCUAUAAAACUAAAUCACGAUAUCGAACUAAAGGCUCAAUAGUAAAUAGUUAAUAAAGGAAAACAGGUUAGUGAUGCCUUACUUUCGGUACGAUCAUGACGUUCUGGAAGUUGGGUCGUUACAUAAAACCACUCUUUGGCUCUUUCCUCAAGUGAGAAUGGGAAGGCAAACAACCAAAUAGCGACCUCAUCCGAACCCUCCCGCUUAGUUGUUGAACAUACAUGAUAAACCCCAUUUUUAGGGUUUAUCUUGUGUUGAAUUUAGAAUAUUUUGCUAACCUUUUCUCACAUUUAGCCAAAGAAUUAGCAUGAGAAUUAUUUGUGCUUAAUUGUAAAAACAUGCUUUCUAGGCCUUUAAUUUGAUAAUUUUAAUUCUCUCUUGAUUCCAUAAGGUGCCUUGAUGUGUUUGCUAGUAAUCUCAGGAUGAAAUAGGCUUGGAAUGGAUCAAAGGAGUAAGGAAGGAAGCAUGCAAGUGGAGAGAAGCGUAAAAAGCCAAAGAAUUUAUCCCGGCCAAGGAUGCGCACGCGCACCAGGCGCUCGCGCGCACCUCGCGAAAUCGGCUAGGGACGCGUACGCAUCGCAGUGCGCACGUGAUUCUUUUAGUGCAACUCGUGCCUGGCGAUUUUGGAGGGUUUCUGAACCCAUUUGGAGCUGGAAUUUUGGCGGGAAAAGACUAAAAAGGACCAAGGAUUGAAGGGGAGGUCUUUUGGGAAUCAUUAGUUAGGAAGUUAGCCUUUUAGUUAGUCUUUAGAGAGAUAAGCUCUCACUUCUCUCUAGAAUUAGAAUUAGAAUUAGGUUUAGGUUAAUCUCUCCUCUUAGAUCUUGGUUUAAUUCAUAAUUUGAUUUACUUUUCCUUUAUCAAUUCUUACUCCUCUAUUCUUCCUCUCUCUAGUUUUGUACUUUAAUCCUUGUAAUUCUUUACUUUGUUGUGGAUCUAUUUUUGUUCUUUUGUUUUCUUUUAAUAAUGCAAUUUAAGGUAAUUCAUGAUAA